rnacentral:rRNA from 1 species
AACGAUUGCGACCCCAGGUCGGGC